rnacentral:rRNA from 1 species
AGAGUUUGAUUCUGGCUCAGGAUGAACGCUGGCGGCGUGCCUAACACAUGCAAGUCGAGCGGAGAUAGAUGGAAGCCUAGCGAUGUCUGUCUUAGCGGCGGAUGGGUGAGUAACACGUGGGUAACCUGCCCUGUACUGGGGGAUAACAGCUGGAAACGGCUGUUAAUACCGCAUAUGCGCACGGAGCCGCAUGGCCCCGGGCGGAAAGAUUCAUCGGUACAGGAUGGGCCCGCGCCGGAUUAACUUGUUGGCGGGGUAACGGCCCACCAAGGUGAUGAUCCGUAGCCGACCUGAGAGGGUGACCGGCCACAUUGGGACUGAGACACGGCCCAAACUCCUACGGGAGGCAGCAGUGGGGGAUAUUGCACAAUGGGGGAAACCCUGAUGCAAGCGACGCCGCGUGAAGGAUGACGUAUUUCGGUAUGUAAACUUCUAUCAGCGGGGAAGAAGAUGACGGUACCCGCACAAGAAGCCCCGGCUAACUACGUGCCAGCAGCUGC